rnacentral:rRNA from 1 species
GUGCCAGCAGCCGCGGUAAUACGGAGGGUGCAAGCGUUAAUCGGAAUUACUGGGCGUAAAGCGUGCGUAGGCGGUUCGUUAAGUCAGAUGUGAAAGCCCUGGGCUCAACCUGGGAACUGCAUUUGAAACUGGCGGACUAGAGUUUAAUAGAGGGGAGUGGAAUUUCAGGUGUAGCGGUGAAAUGCGUAGAUAUCUGAAGGAACACCAGUGGCGAAGGCGACUCCCUGGAUUAAAACUGACGCUGAGGUACGAAAGCGUGGGUAGCAAACAGGAUUAGAUACCCUGGUAGUCCACGCCGUAAACGAUGUCAACUAGCCGUUGGUCCUUUAUAUAGGAUUAGUGGCGCAGCUAACGCAUUAAGUUGACCGCCUGGGGAGUACGGCCGCAAGGUUAAAACUCAAAUGAAUUGACGGGGGCCCGCACAAGCGGUGGAGCAUGUGGUUUAAUUCGAUGCAACGCGAAGAACCUUACCUACCCUUGACAUCCAGAGAAUC